UAUAUGAUGAUUAACUUUACUAUUAUAAUAACUUUCGUUCUACUGAUUUGAUCAAACGAUCGGGUAGAAGACAAUAUAUCUGACU
rnacentral:snoRNA from 15 species